CGAAGGCCUGCUGUUCACCUGAAGCACCAGCAGAGUAACACAAAGACCGACAGAGAUACACAAAGACAGAGAUACACAACGACCGCCAGAAGACACACAAAGACAGACAGAGAUACACAAAGACAGACAGAGACACACAAAGACAGACAGAGACACACAAAGACAGAGAUACACAACGACCGCCAGAAGACACACAAAGACCGACAGAGAUACACAAAGACAGAGAUACACAACGACCGCCAGAAGACACACAAAGACAGACAGAGAUACACAAAGACAGACAGAGAUACACAAAGACAGACAGAGACACACAAAGACAGACAGAGACACACAAAGACAGAGAUACACAACGACCGCCAGAAGACACACAAAGACCGACAGAGAUACACAAAGACAGAGAUACACAACGACCGCCAGAAGACACACAAAGACAGACAGAGAUACACAAAGACAGACAGAGAUACACAAAGACAGACAGAGACACACAAAGACAGACAGAGAUACACAAAGACAGACAGAGACACACAAAGACAGACAGAGAUACACAAAGACAGACAGAGAUACACAAAUACAGAGAUACACAAAUACAGAGAUACACAACGACCACCAGAAGACACACAAAGACCGACAGAGAUACACAAAGACAGACAGAGAUACACAAAGACAGACAGAGAUACACAAAGACAGAGAUACACAAAGACAGACAGAGAUACACAAAGACAGACAGAGAUACACAAAGACAGAGAUACACAAAGACAGACAGAGAUACACAAAGACAGACAGAAGACACACAAAGACAGAGAUACACAAAGACAGAGAUACACACAAAGACAGAUACACAACGACCGCCAGAAGACACACAAAGACAGACAGAGAUACACAAAGACAGACAGAGACACACAAAGACAGACAGAGAUACACAAAGACAGAGAUACACAACGACCGUCAGAAGACACACAAAGACAGAGAUACACAAAGACAGACAGAGACACACAAAGACAGAGAUACACAAAGACAGAGAUACACAACGACCGUCAGAAGACACACAAAGACAGACAGAGAUACACAAAGACAGAGAUACACAACGACCGUCAGAAGACACACAAAGACAGAGAUACACAAAGACAGACAGAGACACACAAAGACAGAGAUACACAACGACCGCCAGAAGACACACAAAGACAGACAGAGAUACACAAAGACAGACAGAGACACACAAAGACAGACAGAGAUACACAAAGACAGACAGAGAUACACAAAGACAGAGAUACACAAAGACAGACAGAGACACACAAAGACAGAGAUACACAAAGACAGAGAUACACAACGACCGUCAGAAGACACACAAAGACAGACAGAGAUACACAAAGACAGAGAUACACAACGACCGUCAGAAGACACACAAAGACAGAUACACAAAGACAGACAGAGACACACAAAGACAGAGAUACACAACGACCGUCAGAAGACACACAAAGACAGACAGAGAUACACAAAGACAGACAGAGAUACACAAAGACAGACAGAGAUACACAAAGACAGAGAUACACAAAGACAGACAGAGAUACACAAAGACAGACAGAGAUACACAAAGACAGAGAUACACAAAGACAGACAGAGAUACACAAAGACAGAGAUACACAACGACCGUCAGAAGACACACAAAGACAGAGAUACACAAAGACAGACAGAGACACACAAAGACAGAGAUACACAACGACCGCCAGAAGACACACAAAGACAGACAGAGAUACACAAAGACAGAGACACACAAAGACAGACAGAGAUACACAAAGACAGACAGAGAUACAUAAAGACAGAGAUACACAAAGACAGACAGAGACACACAAAGACAGACAGAGAUACACAAAGACAGAGAUACACAACGACCGUCAGAAGACACACAAAGACAGAGAUACACAAAGACAGACAGAGACACACAAAGACAGAGAUACACAAAGACAGAGAUACACAACGACCGUCAGAAGACACACAAAGACAGACAGAGAUACACAAAGACAGACAGAGACACACAAAGACAGACAGAGAUACACAAAGACAGAGAUACACAACGACCGUCAGAAGACACACAAAGACAGACAGAGAUACACAAAGACAGAGAUACACAACGACCGUCAGAAGAUACACAAAGACAGACAGAGACACACAAAGACAGAGAUACACAACGACCGCCAGAAGACACACAAAGACAGACAGAGAUACACAAAGACAGACAGAGACACACAAAGACAGACAGAGAUACACAAAGACAGACAGAGAUACACAAAGACAGAGAUAAACAAAGACAGACAGAGACACACAAAGACAGAGAUACACAAAGACAGACAGAGACACACAAAGACAGAGAUACACAAAGACAGAGAUACACAACGACCGUCAGAAGACACACAAAGACAGACAGAGAUACACAAAGACAGAGAUACACAACGACCGUCAGAAGACACACAAUGA
ensembl:lncRNA